CAUGCAAGUCGAGGGUUUGAUUUAUCAAGCACUGGCAUCCGGGUGAGUAACGCGUAGGUCAUCUGCCCCUAUCACAGACAUAACAGUUCUAACGGACUGCUAAUAUCUGAUGAGGCGAGCAAUCGUCAAAGCUUUGGCGGAUAGGGAUGAGCCUGCGUCUGAUUAGGUAGUUGGUGAGGUAAUGGCUCACCAAGCCUUCGAUCAGUAGCUGGUCUGAGAGGACGAACAGCCACACUGGAACUGAGACACGGUCCAGACUCCUACGGGAGGCAGCAGUGAGGAAUAUUGGUCAAUGGGCGCAAGCCUGAACCAGCGACGCCGCGUGGGGGAUGAAGGGGCUUUGCCUCGUAAACCUCUGUCGGAUGGGACGAAAGGUGGCUUUGAGCCACUGGGACGGUACCAUCAAAGGAAGGAUCGGCUAACUACGUGCCAGCAGCCGCGGUAAUACGUAGGAUCCGAGCGUUGUCCGGAAGUUACUGGGUGUAAAGGGUGCGUAGGCUGUUCUGUGCGUCAGAGGUGAAAUCCCCGGGCUUAACUCGUGGGGUGCCUUUGAUACGGCAGGGCUUGAGUACGAGAGAGGUGCGUGGAAUUCCUGGUGUA
rnacentral:rRNA from 1 species